rnacentral:rRNA from 1 species
UACGUAGGGUGCAAGCGUUGUCCGGAAUUAUUGGGCGUAAAGAGCUCGUAGGCGGUCUGUCGCGUCGGCUGUGAAAUCCCGAGGCUCAACCUCGGGUCUGCAGUCGAUACGGGCAAACUGGAGUGGUGCAGGGGAGACUGGAAUUCCUGGUGUAGCGGUGAAAUGCGCAGAUAUCAGGAGGAACACCGGUGGCGAAGGCGGAUCUCUGGGCAUUUCCUGACGCUGAGGCGCGAAAGCGUGGGGAGCAAACGGG